GUACUCCCUGUGUCUAGGCCCUGACACCAAACACAGCCUGAGUGCAGCCAAAGGAAAGUUUGGAAUCUACCCUUAGUGACAACCCUGGGGAGUACCCAGACACAAGUCAAGAAACCAUCUCACAGCACUAAGAACUGUGAAGUCAACCUCUAGCAACCUUUCCUUCUUUGAACCAUCAACCUAUGACUGAAAAUUAGAUCAAUGAGAUUAAAUCACUUGCAAUCAAGAUAUUGAGAAAAAGCCACAAUGAGGGCAAGGAUAUUAACUCUGGUGGCAGUUAUAGAACAGGCUGGAAGAGGAAGACACAUGAUACAAGAAGACCAGAUGAGAAAUUACUGUCAUUGCUCACAUGUGAGACAGGAGCUGCAACUAGAAUGAUGGCAGCGUGAACAGGAAGUUGCUAAAGACUUCGCAAAGACACAACAGGAUCAAC
rnacentral:lncRNA from 10 species